GAUGAACGCUAGCUACAGGCUUAACACAUGCAAGUCGAGGGGAAACGAUAGAGAAAGCUUGCUUUUUCUAGGCGUGGACCGGCGAACGGGUGAGUAACGCGUAUCCAACCUGCCCAACACUUGGGGAUAACCUCGCGAAAGUAAGACUAAUACCCAAUGACAUCUCUAGAAGACAUCUGAAGGAGAUUAAAGAUUCAUUGGUGUUGGAUGGGGAUGUGUCUGAUUAGCUUGUUGGCGGGGUAACGGCCGACCAAGGCGACGAUCAGUAGGGGUUCUGAGAGGAAGGUCCCCCACAUUGGAACUGAGACACGGUCCAAACUCCUACGGGAGGCAGCAGUGAGGAAUAUUGGUCAAUGGGCGAGAGCCUGAACCAGCCAAGUAGCGUGCAGGAUGACGGCCCUAUGGGUUGUAAACUGCUUUUAUAAGGGAAUAAAGUGAGUCUCGUGAGACUUUUUGCAUGUACCUUAUGAAUAAGGACCGGCUAAUUCCGUGCCAGCCGCCGCGGUAA
rnacentral:rRNA from 1 species